rnacentral:rRNA from 1 species
GAUGAACGCUGGCGGCGUGCCUAAUACAUGCAAGUCGAGCGAACAGACGAGGAGCUUGCUCCUCUGACGUUAGCGGCGGACGGGUGAGUAACACGUGGAUAACCUACCUAUAAGACUGGGAUAACUUCGGGAAACCGGAGCUAAUACCGGAUAAUAUAUUGAACCGCAUGGUUCAAUAGUGAAAGACGGUUUUGCUGUCACUUAUAGAUGGAUCCGCGCCGCAUUAGCUAGUUGGUAAGGUAACGGCUUACCAAGGCAACGAUGCGUAGCCGACCUGAGAGGGGGGUUGACCGCCCACGAGGGAACGCACCCCCCAUCCUACUUCGUCAGGCAGCAGGAGGUAGGCUUCCUCCGGCGUCGGAAGAAUGCCGGAGGAACCCCGCCCGCGUGAUGAAGGAGGUCCUUCGGUUAGAAAACCUUUUUAGUUAGGAACAAAUAAGUAAGUAACUAACCACGUCCUUAUGGCAGCUACUCAGCAGACAGCCGCGACUUACUAC